rnacentral:snRNA from 1 species
AUACUUACCUGGCAGGGGAGACACCAUGAUCAAGAAGGUGGUUCGUUCACCCAGAGGCUCAGCCAUUGCACUCCGGUUGUGCUGACUCCUGCGAAUUCCCCAAAUGUGGGAAUCUCGACUGCAUAAUUUAUGGUAGUGGGGGACUGCGUUCACGCUCUCCCCUG